CAUCUUGAAAUUGAUUGAAAUUUUGAAAACCUAUUCAAAAAAAUUUGGUUUUCAUCACCGACACUCUCCGUGAUGUCCUCGACGUCCUUCCCCCCUCCUAUGUUCGUUUGUGUCGGCGGUCCUCAAUGUCACCCCUUCACCGUCAGCACAACCAAAAGAUUCAUACCCGGAGAACUCAAAUUCGUCUAAAUCACAGACCGUAUUCAGACCUGGGUGAUGCCGUCAUUCUUAAUGAUCGGCGAGUUUUUCGAUUUGCUAUGUCAAGAGUUUUCUAUUUGCGUUAACCCACGAGAUGAAUUGCAAGUUCAAGAUCAAGCACAAUGAAUUCGUCAAAAGAAAGAAACUAAAAUUUUUCAGAUUUGGCACCAAGAAAGAAGACCUCAAGAUGGUGGUGUUGUAUUUAAGAGAGAACAAACAAGUAUCUCGUAUAGGUCUCUACCUUCUAGGGAGGAUCAAUGGGUGAUGCACUUGGUAUACAUCUUCUAACUUGUUUGAUUUUAGGAAAAUUUUAUGUUCUAUAUAUUUAUAUUCUAAAUUGUACACACAUAAAGAAAAAGAGAAGAAAACAAAGUCUCCUAUAUAAAAGAAGUCAAACUUUGCUCUUUAGAGAGGUUGAAAGAAGAGAGUAAAGUAACUGACAUACACACGCAUAAAUAUACACUUAAAUGGAUAGAUUGUAAAAGUUUAUGGUUCCAAAGAGGUUUCUAAACCUUAGUCCUAAAUGCUGAGCAUAAAUAUACAUUUGAAUAGAUAGAUUAUAUAAGUUUAUUUGGUUCCAAAGAGGUUUCUAAACCUUAAGUCUUAAAUAUUGAGGCACCUGCAUGUGAGAUUCUGAUGUAUAAUUGGCUUCUCAUUUUUCUUUGGCAUGAUAUAGCUUUUUUUAUGGAGUUGUGGGCCCUUUGAAAGAAAAACAUGAGAUAAGCUAUUUGAAAUUCUGAAAUUCAUUUUCUGUACAUUCUUUCUCUUGUUAGACAAUGAGAUAAGCUACCUUUAUUUCCUAUAAUUGCAAUUAUUUAUUAAUAUGCCUCUUCAUUCCAUCAGAUAUUUUUGUCCCUAUAGUGCCCUCAAAUUAUUAAAUAAAAAACACAACUAGCAGUGGUUCAAAUUCCCACUAGCCUAACUAUCACAUGGCAAGGUUUUGUCAGUUAAUGAAAACCAACACUGUAGUGAUUAAAACUAUUAUAUGAUAUAUAAGAUACUUUUAAUGAUUUUGAUAAAAGAAAAAGACUAUUA